ACUGAGCAAGCACAAAAAGCUACAAGGCGCGGCCAACGUAAGGUGACCUUGAUAGAUAUAACCCAAAUGAAUAGCGAAAAUUUUAAGUUAUAACAUACUUUAUUCAAACCAGGCAGUCCCAACACUCAGACUCGUUGCAUGACCAUACAGAUUAAAUUAAUUUCGCAGUAAAACUAUUGAGAAGAUGUAAAUAAUUCCUGGUAUAUUUCUAUAUAAAACGAGACAGAGGAAAAUUCAUUUAAAGGCAAAGUCUUUUCUCAAAUAUAAAUGAAUUACCUGAUAAACUUUCACUCUGGAGCUUUCAAAAGGUUUUUUAUUUAUAAUUUUUGGUUCGGCCUUUGCUUUAUUACAGACAACAAUGGAUUUGAAAGUACAUGGCCGUUGCUCCAUUGAAAUUGUAAACCUGGCUUAUCCGACAUUGAAAAUACACUCGAUAUUCCCAAUCGCAAUUGCCUCUACUUUCUAUUUGGAU